GCUAAUACAUCAGUUCCCGUACGAUCAACGAAGUUAAGCAACGUCGAUCCUGGUCAGUAUCUAGAUGGGUGACCGCUUGGGAAUACCAGCUAUUGUAU